rnacentral:misc_RNA from 1 species
GACAGCUUAAGGUCAAAGUCGUAGACAGAACUGCUGUAGUAACAGCAAAUGCAGAGACUAUGGUUGUGAGGCCACCUGGCAUUCAAGAUGCCAUCAAUGCAGAGAUAGCCAAAUACCCCCAAGGCCGAUCUUUCAUACGGCCAUCUGGCACAGAGGAUGUUAUACGUGUAUAUGCAGAGGCAUCAACACAAGAAGCAGCGGACAGCCUUGCUAGCUCUGUAGCAAAACUUGUGGACCAGUUCCUAGGAUUUGGC